GGCGGCGGUGGCCUCUCCCGGGUCGUAUGUUCCAACCGACAUUGAGUCCGCAAUGCACACUAUGACCUUGAACCCGCCCGAUCAAAAUUGGUACAUGGACACCGGAGCCACUUCUCAUAUGACAUCCUCGGACGGAUUUUCAGACGGGGGAUGCCACUAAUGCGGUGUGAUAGUCGGGGAGAUCUUUAUCCGGUUACCACCAUCAAAUAUCCAACCACCACUCCAUCAAACUUUGCGGCGUUGUCUUCUCUUUUUUGGCAUGCUCGCUUGGGUCAUCCGGGAAAUUCUAUCUUAGAUUGUCUUAGGGUUCAUAAAAGCAUUGAAUGUAAUAAAUCUAGUAUUUCUAGUAUUUGUCGUUCUUGUGUUCUUGGUAAACACAUUAGGUUGCCGUUUGAUUCAUCUAUUUCCGAAACUUUGAUGCCAUUUGAUAUUAUUCAUAGUGAUUUGUGGA